AUUGAACGCUGGCGGCAUGCUUUACACAUGCAAGUCGAACGGCAGCACGGGCUUCGGCCUGGUGGCGAGUGGCGAACGGGUGAGUAAUAUAUCGGAACGUACCCAGAAGUGGGGGAUAACGUAGCGAAAGUUACGCUAAUACCGCAUACGAUCUAUGGAUGAAAGCCGGGGACCGCAAGGCCUUGUGCUCCUUGAGCGGCCGAUAUCUGAUUAGCUAGUUGGUGAGGUAAAGGCUCACCAAGGCGACGAUCAGUAGCUGGUCUGAGAGGACGACCAGCCACACUGGAACUGAGACACGGUCCAGACUCCUACGGGAGGCAGCAGUGGGGAAUUUUGGACAAUGGGCGCAAGCCUGAUCCAGCAAUGCCGCGUGAGUGAAGAAGGCCUUCGGGUUGUAAAGCUCUUUUGUCAGGGAAGAAACGGUAGAGGCUAAUAUCCUUUGCUAAUGACGGUACCUGAAGAAUAAGCACCGGCUAACUACGUG
rnacentral:rRNA from 1 species